rnacentral:rRNA from 1 species
AAAACUUUCAACAACGGAUCUCUUGGUUCUGGCAUCGAUGAAGAACGCAGCGAAAUGCGAUAAGUAAUGUGAAUUGCAGAAUUCAGUGAAUCAUCGAAUCUUUGAACGCACAUUGCGCCCCCCGGCACUCCGGGGGGCAUGCCUGUUCGAGCGUCAUU